rnacentral:rRNA from 1 species
AACGAACGCUGGCGGCAUGCCUAACACAUGCAAGUCGAACGAUGGCUUCGGCCAUAGUGGCGCACGGGUGCGUAACGCGUGGGAAUCUGCCCUUAGGUACGGAAUAACUCAGGGAAACUUGUGCUAAUACCGUAUGAUGCCGAAAGACCAAAGAGUUAUCGCCUAAGGAUGAGCCCGCGUAGGAUUAGCUUGUUGGUGAGGUAAAGGCUCACCAAGGCGACGAUCCUUAGCUGGUCUGAGAGGAUGAUCAGCCACACUGGGACUGAGACACGGCCCAGACUCCUACGGGAGGCAGCAGUGGGGAAUAUUGGACAAUGGGCGAAAGCCUGAUCCAGCAAUGCCGCGUGAGUGAUGAAGGCCCUAGGGUUGUAAAGCUCUUUUACCCGGGAAGAUAAUGACUGUACCGGGAGAAUAAGCCCCGGCUAACUACGUGCCAGCCGCCGCGGUAAGAC